AUUGCGCCGUUCGUUCGUCAUCUUCGUUCCGUUCUGAGAGUCUCUCCCCCAAAUUUUUCCUUCGGGGCGGCAAGGUGAAGAGGCAGCUUUAAGACCCAGAGGCAGCGGCAGGAGCUUGCGGAGGCCACCGCUGCCGCCGUCUAGGGUUCAAGCUGGCAGAUCGUGCCACCGGCACCGCCAGCCAAGUUCGCCCACGGCGAGGACAAGCAACGACUGUAUCCUGUGUCGGCGUUCCGCGUCAAAGAGAGAGCAGGUUAGGGACUCAGAAGUCAGUACUGGCAGAUUGAAAGUUGUUUUCAUGCCACGUGUUUCUCGAUUAUAUUAGUCAAAGAAUUAUUUUAUAAGCCCAAGCCGCCGGAAAUGGCUAAGUCAAACUCGAACGGGAAAGGGAUAAAUCCAAUACAAACUUUUUUGAAAAGCUUGUCGCACAUGCCUUAUUGGCUUAUAUCGAGGAAGGAGCCGUGAUGGUACACAAGUUGAUCGCUCCGUCUAGCCACUUGGACUAUUGUAAGUUUCUGACUUCAACUGCUCAAUGAUGACGCUCAUGCCACCCUCCAUGGGAUGAUACACAUUAUAUAUGCACACAUUUGGUGCCUAGCAUUCUCGACUUGUGCCUCAUCAAGCCAACUGCUCCUGAUUCCUGAAGCGGUAAAAAGAGCGAGCUUUGGGAUUGGCAGCAAUGGCGACGAAACCACUAGUUGGCUCUCCGCUCUCGGCCUCUCCUGCUGCUCAAAGCACCCCUGACCCUGGCUUUCCAACCGGUGUUGCUGCUCAAGGCACCCCCACCCCUGGCCCUUCCAGUGGUGGUGGUGGUACCGGUGCUGCUGCUCCAGUCCCCGACGGUGGCCCUAAAAGUGGCAGCGGGAAUCCAAUUGGGUCACCUCCCGUGUUUCACGGAUAAGUUCUUGUUCUGCUUCGGAUCUCCGACCUUGUCUUGUGCAAGUUUCAAACUGUAAUAUGUUUGUUCCCAGUUCGGUCGAGGGUUCGACCGCCCUCUUGUUCGUUAAGCAUGUAGUUUGAAUGUUUGAUAACCACAACCUUAGUUCUUAUAACUGAUGUUGUUUUAAGUAUGGAUAUAUGGCUUGAAUAGUGAAUACACACAUCUGAUCAAUAGUAUCUAUGGGUCUAAAGCAGUGUAAUUCAGAUGCCAUCGAUCUGUGACAUUAUUCAAGUUGUAUGUCGAGGUUAAACAUGAGAUGCGUGUGGCAAGGUCAAACACAGAAUAUAUGUUGAGGUGAAAUGAAGACCUGUGUUGCAGUGUGGAGUGCAUA